rnacentral:lncRNA from 1 species
CAGAGGGGUCUGAGUGGGAAGAGACAGAGGUGGUGGGAGCAGUGGGCUCUGCCUGUCCCCACCCCCACCUGGGGCCUCAUACCAUCCCACUAUCAUGGGUAGUGCCUACCACUGGGAGGCCCGGCGCCGGCAGAUGGCUUUGGACCGAAGGAGAUGGCUGAUGGCCCAGCAGCAGCAGGAGCUGCAGCAGAAAGAACAGGAACUGAAGAAUCACCAGGAGGAAGAACAACAAUCGGAGGAAAAACUCCAGCCACCUAAGAAGUUAAAUGUGCCGCAACCACCAGUGGUGAAAUUGUGGACAUCACAGGAGCAACCACAGCCAUCACAGCAGCAGCCAUCAGUGCAGCCACCAUCGCAACCACCACCACAGCCAUCAACAUUGCCACAGGCACAGGUGUGGCCAGGGCCACAGCCACCACCUCAGCCAACACAACCAAGUGCUCAAGCCCGUUGUACUCAGCACACCUCCAAAUGCAAUCUCCAGGAUUCCCAAAGGCCAGGUCUCAUGAACCCAUGCCAAUCUAGCCCCAUCAGAAACACUGGGUAUUCACAACUCAAGUCUACCAAUUACAUACAGCAGUGGUGAUCCAGAGAUCGAACCCAGGACCCCAUGGCCAUCCCCAAAAUGCAGAUGAGCAACCACAUCUUCUCAGCAUCCAGCAAUAUCUCCACUCCAAAAGCCACCCACUCUAGAAGAGGAGGCUGCCAGGAAUAAAAUGUAAUUUUUUUCCUGGGAGGAAUCACGGGACCGGACAGCUUUAUGAGACAGGGAUGAGAGGAAGAGGGCAGGACGGCUCACGAAGGGGAUGGAGAGGGUGGAAAGAGAGUGGAAGGCAAGUUUAUGCUUCUCUAGGCAAAGCCAAUGGGAGAACUGGGUCUUGGGUCCCCCCCAAGUAUGCAACUCCUACUACUAUCACUACCUGCCCUCAUUCAGCAGUGAUAAGUCUGUGGGGGGCUUCAGUUUAUGACUGUCACUGGAGCCAUCACCCAUUCCCCCAAGCCCAUGCUUACUGAGAUAUAGCCUGGGGAAGGAGGGGUCGCAUCACAUCAGA